rnacentral:lncRNA from 1 species
AGCCGCAGCGGUGUGUGGUGCGGCAUGUUCGUGGUCGAAGUCAGGCUUAGAAAUGUUGUAUGUUUGUGUCUAUUGAAGGUUGCACGAAAACGCACGUGUGUAAUCGCGACGACAAUGCAAGGUCGUUCAUGAACGUCAAAGAAGUUAAACGUUUCAGCGCUAAAAGCGUCUCGCACUUCAGCAGUAAGUGGUACCGAGUGUGCUGACAGAUGCUGCUCGCAAAGGUGGUUGCUUCGGAGGGCAUACCCUGCCGAUGUUCGGCACUACCUAGAGAAGCGGUGCAGUGGCAUAUAUUCGACAAGGAAGCACAGCAUGCCUAGCUGGAAAGCUUGUUGCGGGGAAGAUCGCCGAUUUGAUGAAGUUAUCCUGCAAUAAUGAUAAAUAUAGCACGUGCCACAUGCCUCCCUUCAAAU